AGCUCCAAUAGCGUAUAUUAAUGUUGUUGCAGUUAAAAAGCUCGUAGUUGAAUCUCUGGCUAGUCCUCUUCGUCUGCCUUCACGGGUGUGUACGUUGCCAGGUCUAGUCAUCCUUCUGAAGAAACUAUGUGGCAUUCACUUGUCAUGUUGUGGAUCAGAUACUUUACCUUGAAAAAAUUAGAGUGUUUCAGGCAGGCAAUCGCCGGAAUACAUUAGCAUGGAAUAAUUGAAUAGGACUCUCGGUUCUAUUUGUUGGUUUUGUGGACCGAAGUAAUGAUUAAUAGGGAUAGUUGGGGGCAUUGGUAUUUAGUUGUCAGAGGUGAAAUUCAUGGAUUUGCUAAAGACCAACUUAUGCGAAAGCAUUUGCCAAGGAUGUUUUCAUUAAUCAAGAACGAAAGUA
rnacentral:rRNA from 1 species